ACGGAAGGCAGCAGUGGGGAAUAUUGCACAAUGGGCGAAAGCCUGAUGCAGCGACGCCGCGUGAGUGAAGAAGUAUCUCGGUAUGUAAAGCUCUAUCAGCAGGGAAGAAAAUGACGGUACCUGACUAAGAAGCCCCGGCUAACUACGUGCCAGCAGCCGCGGUAAUACGUAGGGGGCAAGCGUUAUCCGGAUUUACUGGGUGUAAAGGGAGCGUAGACGGUUUGGCAAGUCUGAAGUGAAAUGCGGGGGCUCAACUCCUGAACUGCUUUGGAAACUGUUUAGCUAGAGUGCAGGAGAGGUAAGCGGAAUUCCUAGUGUAGCGGUGAAAUGCGUAGAUAUUAGGAGGAACACCAGUGGCGAAGGCGGCUUACUGGACUGUAACUGACGUUGAGGCUCGAAAGCGUGGGGAGCAAACAGGAUUAGAUACCCUGGUA
rnacentral:rRNA from 1 species